rnacentral:rRNA from 1 species
GAUGAACGCUGGCGGCGUGCCUAAUACAUGCAAGUCGAGCGAACGGACGAGAAGCUUGCUUCUCUGAUGUUAGCGGCGGACGGGUGAGUAACACGUGGAUAACCUACCUAUAAGACUGGGAUAACUUCGGGAAACCGGAUCUAAUACCGGAUAAUAUUUUGAACCGCAUGGUUCAAAAGUGAAAGACGGUCUUGCUGUCACUUAUAGAUGGAUCCGCGCUGCAUUAGCUAGUUGGUAAGGUAACGGCUUACCAAGGCAACGAUGCAUAGCCGACCUGAGAGGGUGAUCGGCAACACUGGAACUGAGACACGGUCCAGACGCCUACGGGAGGCAGCAGUAGGGAAUCUUCCGCAAUGGGCGAAAGCCUGACGGAGCAACGCCGCGUGAGUGAUGAAGGUCUUCGGAUCGUAAAACUCUGUUAUUAGGGAAGAACAUAUGUGUAAGUAACUGUGCACAUCUUGACGGUACCUAAUCAGAAAGCCACGGCUAACUACGUG